GUUUUCUCUGAAAACACAAUGCACAUUUAAGACGUGUUGUUGCAGUGCUACUGUUGUGCUUUGGAAUUUGACCUAUUUCACGGAGAAGAAAACUGGGCAGCUCAGGGACGUCUCGCUGCCUGCACCGCGGUUCACACGCCACCGUGAAAACCACUGGACCCAUCCUUUUCGGAGAACACUUGGCUGUGAACCCACAACCUGGAGCGGAGCCGCCGCUACAAGGUACAAAAGGUUGAAUUUCUCUGCUCAACCUCCCCAUGCUGCAUUCACAUUGACACUGCCCACUGAAACCAGACCGUGAUGCGGCGUCGCAGGCACAGAGGGUGCGUAGAAGGCAGCGGUGCCAUUCUUCAGAAGAAAUGUCAGCAAGGAUGUCUCACGUUUCCAUGAGGCUCCUUCGGCUGUGGCAGUCUGCUCUGCUAACGUUAGACAGCAGAGCGACAGCGUCACACGGACAGGACGUACGAACGAGUGAAGGAGGGCAGAGCGUGGGAUCUUUGGAACAUGCCUAUGCGUGACUCAGAGAUGGUUAUCUUUAGUCUAUACAGUAAACACUAAGAUGAGGUCACGCCCCACUCACAUUCAGUGGAUUUAGAAGACGUGGAAGACGACACAGUUCCACCAAACUGUAAAAAUCAACUUUCUGCCAUGUCGAAUACUUUGGCCUUCAUUGAGAGCACUAUUGGUAUUAAUUCACUUCACUGACAAGAAAGUUGUGUUGUUACUCCAAGUGUGCGGUGCAUGUUUCAGUUGGGAUGUGUUUACAAAAGUAAAACAAGUUGAACUGAAUCAACCCUUUAAGCGCACAAACGUGAAUGUUAAACCUACCUUCUUUUACUACGUUGGUGUUAAGGCGUUGUGUGCACUGGUACUGUACAUGUUACAUGUUUGUGGUACGCACAUGCUUUAUAGGGGGUUGAUGGCAUAUCUAUGAGUUUAUUGCAUCCAUACUUCCGCUUUGUGAAAUGAGGAACUGCUUGUAUGGAUCGUUUAAUAAUAAAAUAGUGAGAGUCAAUGAUAAUGACUGUACUAUCUAUAUUACAGCAAUAAAGGUUUGUGUUUG